AGCAGUGGGGAAUAUUGGACAAUGGGCGAAAGCCUGAUCCAGCCAUGCCGCGUGUGUGAAGAAGGUCUUCGGAUUGUAAAGCACUUUAAGUUGGGAGGAAGGGCAUUAACCUAAUACGUUAGUGUUUUGACGUUACCGACAGAAUAAGCACCGGCUAACUCUGUGCCAGCAGCCGCGGUAAUACAGAGGGUGCAAGCGUUAAUCGGAAUUACUGGGCGUAAAGCGCGCGUAGGUGGUUUGUUAAGUUGGAUGUGAAAUCCCCGGGCUCAACCUGGGAACUGCAUUCAAAACUGACUGACUAGAGUAUGGUAGAGGGUGGUGGAAUUUCCUGUGUAGCGGUGAAAUGCGUAGAUAUAGGAAGGAACACUAGUGGCGAAGCGAUCACCUGGACUAAUACUGACACUGAGG
rnacentral:rRNA from 1 species